rnacentral:rRNA from 1 species
UACGUAGGGGGCAAGCGUUGUCCGGAUUUAUUGGGCGUAAAGAGCGUGUAGGCGGUUAUACAGGUCCGCUGUGAAAACUGGAGGCUUAACCUCCAGACGUCGGUGGAAACCGUAUAACUAGAGUCCGGAAGAGGAGAGUGGAAUUCCUGGUGUAGCGGUGAAAUGCGCAGAUAUCAGGAAGAACACCCGUGGCGAAAGCGGCUCUCUGGAACGGUACUGACGCUGAGACGCGAAAGCGUGGGGAGCGAACAGG